rnacentral:rRNA from 1 species
UACGGAGGGGGCAAGCGUUGUUCGGAGUGACUGGGCGUAAAGGGCACGUAGGUGGCGAUCCAAGUCGUAGGUCAAAAGCGGGAGCUUAACUUCCGUCCGGCCUGUGAAACUGGAUUGCUAGAGUGUCGAAGAGGAAUGCGGAAUAUCUGGUGUAGCGGUGGAAUGCGCAGAUAUCAGAUGGAACACCUUUAGCGAAGGCGGCAUUCUGGUCGACAACUGACACUGAGGUGCGAAAGCGUGGGUAGCAAACAGG